rnacentral:misc_RNA from 1 species
AGUCGUAACAAGGUAUCCGUAGGUGAACCUGCGGAUGGAUCAUUAUAGGUUAUUUUGAAUGUUGUGUGAACAGUGUGAUUGCGGUUGUGGUGGGUGUGGUAUAUGGUAUAUGGUAUAUUGUAUGAUGUAUGGUAUAUGUGAUAUAAUAUAUAAUAUAAUAUAUAAUAUAAUAUCAUCCACCUUGACAACAUUGACGUACAUUAGUGCUGAAUACAUUAUAUAUAUUGAAAUAUAAACAACUUUCAGCAAUGGAUCUCUUGGCUCUC